GACGAACGCUGGCGGCGUGCUUAACACAUGCAAGUCGAACGGAAAGGCCCCUUCGGGGGUACUCGAGUGGCGAACAGGUGAGUAACACGUGAGUAACCUGCCCUUGACUUCGGGAUAACUUCAGGAAACUGGGGCUAAUACCGGAUAGGAAUCCUUGCUGCAUGGUGGGGGUUUGAAAGCUUCGGCGGUUUUGGAUGGACUCGCGGCUUAUCAGCUUGUUGGUGGGGUAGUGGCUUACCAAGGCUUUGACGGGUAGCCGGCCUGAGAGGGCGACCGGCCACAUUGGGACUGAGAUACGGCCCAGACUCCUACGGGAGGCAGCAGUGGGGAAUAUUGCACAAUGGGCGGAAGCCUGAUGCAGCAACGCCGCGUGCGGGAUGACGGCCUUCGGGUUGUAAACCGCUUUCAGCAGGGGCGAAGCUUGUGGUGACGGUACCUGCAGAAGAAGCACCGGCUAACUACGUG
rnacentral:rRNA from 1 species